rnacentral:pre_miRNA from 1 species
CCAUUCCCACCCCCUUAUCACUUUUCCAGCCCAGCUUCGUCAUUGCCACUGUUGGACGGAGAACUGAUAAGGGUGUGUGGGUGG